CAGCCGCCGCGGUAAUACGUAGGGUGCGAGCGUUAAUCGGAAUUACUGGGCGUAAAGCGUGCGCAGGCGGUUCGUUAAGACAGAUGUGAAAUCCCCGGGCUUAACCUGGGAACUGCAUUUGUGACUGGCGAGAUAGAGUAUGGCAGAGGGGGGUAGAAUUCCACGUGUAGCAGUGAAAUGCGUAGAGAUGUGGAGGAAUACCGAUGGCGAAGGCAGCCCCCUGGGCCAAUACUGACGCUCAUGCACGAAAGCGUGGGGAGCAAACAGGAUUAGAUACCCGUGUAGUCCCUGUCUCUUAUAC
rnacentral:rRNA from 1 species